AACGAACGCUGGCGGCAGGCCUAACACAUGCAAGUCGAGCGAGGACUUCGGUCCUAGCGGCGGACGGGUGAGUAACGCGUGGGAACGUGCCCUUUGCUUCGGAAUAGCCCUGGGAAACUGGGUGUAAUACCGGAUGAGCCCUUUGGGGGAAAGAUUUAUCGGCGAAGGAUCGGCCCGCGUUGGAUUAGGUAGUUGGUGGGGUAAUGGCCUACCAAGCCGACGAUCCAUAGCUGGUUUGAGAGGAUGAUCAGCCACACUGGGACUGAGACACGGCCCAGACUCCUACGGGAGGCAGCAGUGGGGAAUCUUAGACAAUGGGGGAAACCCUGAUCUAGCCAUGCCGCGUGAGCGAUGAAGGCCUUAGGGUUGUAAAGCUCUUUCAGCUGGGAAGAUAAUGACGGUACCAGCAGAAGAAGCCCCGGCUAACUCCGUG
rnacentral:rRNA from 1 species